UACGUAGGUGGCAAGCGUUGUCCGGAUUUAUUGGGUUUAAAGGGUGCGUAGGCGGCUUUAUAAGUCAGUGCUGAAAUAUCCCGGCUUAACCGGGAGGGUGGCAUUGAUACUGCAGAGCUUGAGUGAAGUCGAGGUAGGCGGAAUUGACGGUGUAGCGGUGAAAUGCUUAGAUAUCAGGAAGAACACCCGUGGCGAAAGCGGCUCUCUGGAACGGUACUGACGCUGAGACGCGAAAGCGUGGGGAGCGAACAGG
rnacentral:rRNA from 1 species